AGUGAACGCUGGCGGCGUGCUUAACACAUGCAGUCGAACGAGAACGGAUUAUAGCUUGCUAUAAUUGUCAGCUAAGUGGCGCACGGGUGAGUAAUGUAUAGGUAAUAUGCCUCUUACUAAGGGAUAACAAAUGGAAACGUUUGCUAAUACCUUAUACUCCUUAUUAACAGAAGUUAAUAAGGGAAAGAUUUAUUGGUAAGAGAUUAGCCUGUAUUGUAUCAGUUAGUUGGUGGGGUAAUGGCUUACCAAGACUAUGACACAUAACUGGUUUGAGAGGAUGAUCAGUCACACUGGAACUGAGACACGGUCCAGACUCCUACGGGAGGCAGCAGUGGGGAAUAUUGCACAAUGGACGAAAGUCUGAUGCAGCAACGCCGCGUGGAGGAUGACACAUUUCGGUGCGUAAACUCCUUUUAUAUGAGAAGAUAAUGACGGUAUUAUAUGAAUAAGCACCGGCUAACUCCGUGUCAGCCGCCGCCGUAAGAC
rnacentral:rRNA from 1 species